AGCUUUGUGCAGUGGCAGUAUCAUAGCCAAUGAGGUUUAUCCAAGGCGCGAUUAUUGCUAAUUAAAAAAAAUAAUAAAAGCCU
rnacentral:snRNA from 1 species